rnacentral:rRNA from 1 species
GGGUUGUGAGGUUAAGCGACUAAGCGUACACGGUGGAUGCCCUGGCAGUCAGAGGCGAUGAAGGACGUGCUAAUCUGCGAUAAGCGUCGGUAAGGUGAUAUGAACCGUUAUAACCGGCGAUUUCCGAAUGGGGAAACCCAGUGUGUUUCGACACACUAUCAUUAACUGAAUCCAUAGGUUAAUGAGGCGAACCGGGGAACUGAAACAUCUAAGUACCCCGAGGAAAAGAAAUCAACCGAGAUUCCCCCAGUAGCGGCGAGCGAACGGGGAGCAGCCCAGAGCCUGAAUCAGUGUGUGUGUUAGUGGAAGCGUCUGGAAAGGCGCGCGAUACAGGGUGACAGCCCCGUACACAAAAAUGCACAUGCUGUGAGCUCGAUGAGUAGGGCGGGACACGUGGUAUCCUGUCUGAAUAUGGGGGGACCAUCCUCCAAGGCUAAAUACUCCUGACUGACCGAUAGUGAACCAGUACCGUGAGGGAAAGGCGAAAAGAACCCCGGCGAGGGGAGUGAAAAAGAACCUGAAACCGUGUACGUACAAGCAGUGGGAGCCUCUUUAUGGGGUGACUGCGUACCUUUUGUAUAAUGGGUCAGCGACUUAUAUUCUGUAGCAAGGUUAACCGAAUAGGGGAGCCGAAGGGAAACCGAGUCUUAACUGGGCGUUAAGUUGCAGGGUAUAGACCCGAAACCCGGUGAUCUAGCCAUGGGCAGGUUGAAGGUUGGGUAACACUAACUGGAGGACCGAACCGACUAAUGUUGAAAAAUUAGCGGAUGACUUGUGGCUGGGGGUGAAAGGCCAAUCAAACCGGGAGAUAGCUGGUUCUCCCCGAAAGCUAUUUAGGUAGCGCCUCGUGAAUUCAUCUCCGGGGGUAGAGCACUGUUUCGGCAAGGGGGUCAUCCCGACUUACCAACCCGAUGCAAACUGCGAAUACCGGAGAAUGUUAUCACGGGAGACACACGGCGGGUGCUAACGUCCGUCGUGAAGAGGGAAACAACCCAGACCGCCAGCUAAGGUCCCAAAGUCAUGGUUAAGUGGGAAACGAUGUGGGAAGGCCCAGACAGCCAGGAUGUUGGCUUAGAAGCAGCCAUCAUUUAAAGAAAGCGUAAUAGCUCACUGGUCGAGUCGGCCUGCGCGGAAGAUGUAACGGGGCUAAACCAUGCACCGAAGCUGCGGCAGCGACGCUUAUGCGUUGUUGGGUAGGGGAGCGUUCUGUAAGCCUGUGAAGGUGUGCUGUGAGGCAUGCUGGAGGUAUCAGAAGUGCGAAUGCUGACAUAAGUAACGAUAAAGCGGGUGAAAAGCCCGCUCGCCGGAAGACCAAGGGUUCCUGUCCAACGUUAAUCGGGGCAGGGUGAGUCGACCCCUAAGGCGAGGCCGAAAGGCGUAGUCGAUGGGAAACAGGUUAAUAUUCCUGUACUUGGUGUUACUGCGAAGGGGGGACGGAGAAGGCUAUGUUGGCCGGGCGACGGUUGUCCCGGUUUAAGCGUGUAGGCUGGUUUUCCAGGCAAAUCCGGAAAAUCAAGGCUGAGGCGUGAUGACGAGGCACUACGGUGCUGAAGCAACAAAUGCCCUGCUUCCAGGAAAAGCCUCUAAGCAUCAGGUAACAUCAAAUCGUACCCCAAACCGACACAGGUGGUCAGGUAGAGAAUACCAAGGCGCUUGAGAGAACUCGGGUGAAGGAACUAGGCAAAAUGGUGCCGUAACUUCGGGAGAAGGCACGCUGAUAUGUAGGUGAGGUCCCUCGCGGAUGGAGCUGAAAUCAGUCGAAGAUACCAGCUGGCUGCAACUGUUUAUUAAAAACACAGCACUGUGCAAACACGAAAGUGGACGUAUACGGUGUGACGCCUGCCCGGUGCCGGAAGGUUAAUUGAUGGGGUUAGCGGUAACGCGAAGCUCUUGAUCGAAGCCCCGGUAAACGGCGGCCGUAACUAUAACGGUCCUAAGGUAGCGAAAUUCCUUGUCGGGUAAGUUCCGACCUGCACGAAUGGCGUAAUGAUGGCCAGGCUGUCUCCACCCGAGACUCAGUGAAAUUGAACUCGCUGUGAAGAUGCAGUGUACCCGCGGCAAGACGGAAAGACCCCGUGAACCUUUACUAUAGCUUGACACUGAACAUUGAGCCUUGAUGUGUAGGAUAGGUGGGAGGCUUUGAAGUGUGGACGCCAGUCUGCAUGGAGCCGACCUUGAAAUACCACCCUUUAAUGUUUGAUGUUCUAACGUUGACCCGUAAUCCGGGUUGCGGACAGUGUCUGGUGGGUAGUUUGACUGGGGCGGUCUCCUCCUAAAGAGUAACGGAGGAGCACGAAGGUUGGCUAAUCCUGGUCGGACAUCAGGAGGUUAGUGCAAUGGCAUAAGCCAGCUUGACUGCGAGCGUGACGGCGCGAGCAGGUGCGAAAGCAGGUCAUAGUGAUCCGGUGGUUCUGAAUGGAAGGGCCAUCGCUCAACGGAUAAAAGGUACUCCGGGGAUAACAGGCUGAUACCGCCCAAGAGUUCAUAUCGACGGCGGUGUUUGGCACCUCGAUGUCGGCUCAUCACAUCCUGGGGCUGAAGUAGGUCCCAAGGGUAUGGCUGUUCGCCAUUUAAAGUGGUACGCGAGCUGGGUUUAGAACGUCGUGAGACAGUUCGGUCCCUAUCUGCCGUGGGCGCUGGAGAACUGAGGGGGGCUGCUCCUAGUACGAGAGGACCGGAGUGGACGCAUCACUGGUGUUCGGGUUGUCAUGCCAAUGGCACUGCCCGGUAGCUAAAUGCGGAAGAGAUAAGUGCUGAAAGCAUCUAAGCACGAAACUUGCCCCGAGAUGAGUUCUCCCUGACUCCUUGAGAGUCCUGAAGGAACGUUGAAGACGACGACGUUGAUAGGCCGGGUGUGUAAGCGCAGCGAUGCGUUGAGCUAACCGGUACUAAUGAACCGUGAGGCUUAACCUUACAACGCCGAAG